CUGCACCUCAAAGCCAAAGCUUCCAGACGUCUUUUCCUGGUGGAAAAAGCUGUUGUUUCCUUUUUUUAGCCCUCCACUGCAAUGGACAGUCCCACCUCUCCAAAACUGAAUCCAACUCAAGAUUUCUGCCAGACCAAAUGUGCCACCCCAGAAAGCUCUUGCUGCCAAAGAAGUGCUCAGGCUGCGCCAAAAACUGCACCUCAAAGCCAAAGCUUCCAGACUUUUUUUCCUGGUGGUAAGAGCUGCUGUUCCUGUUUUUCAGCCCUGCACUGCAAUGCCCGGUCCCACCUCUCCAAAAUUAAAUCCAAAGGUAUAUUUCUGCCAGACCAAAGGUGCCACCACAGAAAGCUCUUGCUGCCCAAGAAGUUCCCAGGCUGCCCCAAAGCUACACCUGAAGUCAAAAGAUCCAGACUUUUUUUCCUGGUGGAAAGAGCUGCUGUUUCUUUUUUUCAGCCCUCCACUGCAAUGGCCGAUCGCAGCUCCCCAAAAUUGAAUCCACAUGAAGAUUCCUGCCAGACCAAAGGUGCCACCACACAAAGCUCUAGCUGCC